rnacentral:rRNA from 1 species
UGGGGAAUAUUGCACAAUGGGCGCAAGCCUGAUGCAGCCAUGCCGCGUGUGUGAAGAAGGCCUUCGGGUUGUAAAGCACUUUCAGCGGGGAGGAAGGCGAUAAGGUUAAUAACCUUGUCGAUUGACGUUACCCGCAGAAGAAGCACCGGCUAACUCCGUGCCAGCAGCCGCGGUAAUACGGAGGGUGCAAGCGUUAAUCGGAAUUACUGGGCGUAAAGCGCACGCAGGCGGUUUGUUAAGUCAGAUGUGAAAUCCCCGGGCUCAACCUGGGAAAUGCAACUGAUACUGGGAAGGUUGAGGCUCGUAGAGGGGGGUAGAAUUCCAAGUGUAGCGGUGAAAUGCGUAGAGAUCUUGGGGAAUACCGGUGGCGAAGGCGGCCCCCUGGGCGAAGAAUGACGCUCAGGUGCGAAAGCGUGGGGAGCGAACAGG